AGGCCGGUAGCUCAGCGGUGAGAGCGGCGAGCUUAUACCUCGUGAAUCAGUCGCGGGUUCAAUCCCCGCCCGGCCUACCC
rnacentral:tRNA from 1 species